GCCACACCAUGCUGAAUAUACCGGUUCUCGUUAGAUCACCGAAGUCAAGCAUCAUUGGGCGCGGUCAGUACUUGGGUGAGUGACCACCUGGGAACACCGCAUGCCGUU
rnacentral:rRNA from 1 species